GGCACUCUUCCGCUACCUCGGACAAUGGCUCCCUGCCUGAUCCCCCAUGCCUGGUGCGAGAAGAAGGCCUUCGGGUUGUAAAGCUCUUUCACCUGUCCAAGAUGAUGACGGUAUAACGAGAAGAAGCCCCGGCUAACUCCGUGCCAGCAACCGCCGUAAUACGGAGGGGGGUAGCGUUGUUGGGAUUUUCUGGGCGUAAAGGGCCCGUGACGGUAUGUCAUGUCUCGGGUGAAAGGUCUGAGGUGGACCCACCAACUGGCUUUGUAACUGGACCACUAGAUUCCCAUUGAAGAUGGCCUAAUUCCCUCUGCUGAUGUGACCUUGCCACAUAUUGGAAAGAAGACCACCGUUCAACGUUGCCAUCUGGAUCGGCUCUGACGCUGAGGCGCGAAAGCGUGGGGAGCAAACAGGAUUAUAUACCCUGCCAAUCCGCGCCGUGUGCAAUAUGCGCUAGACGUUGCCAACCUUAGGCUCUGAUUGUGGCACCUAACGCGUGAGUCACACCGCCUGAGACGCACGGUCUCAAGGCUGAAACUCAAAUGAAUUGACGG
rnacentral:rRNA from 1 species